UACGGAGGGGGCUAGCGUUGUUCGGAAUUACUGGGCGUAAAGGGCGCGUAGGCGGUGCGAUAAGUCAGGCGUGAAAGGCCCGGGCUCAACCCGGGGACUGCGCUUGAUACUGUCGCGCUGUGAGUCCGGGAGAGGAUGGCGGAAUUCCCAGUGUAGAGGUGAAAUUCGUAGAUAUUGGGAAGAACACCGGUGGCGAAGGCGGCCAUCUGGACCGGCACUGACGCUGAGACGCGAAAGCGUGGGGAGCAAACAGG
rnacentral:rRNA from 1 species